rnacentral:lncRNA from 1 species
AUCCCGUCUGAAGAGAAACACCAUUCCUACCGUCCCCUGCGUCAGUUCCAUCCAUGAAUUGAUCGGUCGAAGCAUUCAAAUCAAAUAAGCCACUGGAUCUUUCACUUUUGUAAGAUGGCUUAGGUUUUAGCCAGGGCAACAUAGCUGAGGAUUCCUGCGUUUUUAGCCCCUGAAAGCUUUCAGAACUCUGGUGCUUCACCACCUCACCUAAAGAAGCAUUUGGUCUAAAGCCUCCUGAUGGGAAACUAACGGCAGCCUCCUUCGACCCUGAAGAGAAUCCAUGAUAAACCCCGUUAGUGACAGGGCUUCUCGUAUCAAAACUUGUAUCUGUCCUUGUGCGCGCAACAAAGUUCAUGUAGGGAUUCGUUUGAACUGGGAAAAAUCUCUGAUGUGAGGUGCUCCUAGGGUUCUCCCACGAUGAAGACCAAUGGCUCCAUGGUCUGACAAAGUCAGGGCGGUAGUCAUUGUGUAAUCUUGGAGCAUUAGAUGCCGGAAAUGAUUCCACGUAGCUAUCAUAAGACGCUUGAGGAUUCUUUGAGCGAACUUCGAGCUCACGAUAUGCUCUUUCCCGGGAGAAUACUACAUUGCUGUGAUCAGUCGUGAGAUAGCUCUGAGGUUGAACAGCACUGUUGGAACGUACUUGUACAGAAUGGGAAGGCAAAUGCAAGUCUCUCUGAGUGCUCCUGUCGUGCCCUAUAAACACACCACCACAUGAAAACAUUCGAGAAACAGAAGAUAAGCAAAAUAGUUUUAUAUCAUUUAAAAAAAAAAAGAGAAAUCAAAUGAAAGUGAAGAGCAUGUAACCUGCGCCAAGGACCAUCCGUCCAUUUUGGCUUGUGUUUCUUCCAUAAUGAGAAUACACGUCCCUGGAGAGAGCAGCAGCAGGUUCCGCAUCUUGCCAAUUGAGUGGCUCAUUCAAGUCAGCUAAACCAUUUGAGUUCUUCACAUCCAAGCAAGACCCUGAAGAGUUGCUCCGAUGAGAACCAUCAUCUCUUCCUGAUCUUGGCCGUUUGGACGGAAUGCAAGUUGUGAUAUCAUCGGUCUCAUCAAACUCAUCAGCAGGGAGCUCAAGAUCAAUCAUUUUUCUCCUACUUUGCAAAGGACCGUUGCAAGCCUGAGAGGUGCUUCCUUCUCCAUUCGAAUUAUUUCCCUUAACUUCAUCCACCAAGUUCCUCUGUACUCUAUACAAACGGUGAAGUUCAUGAACCUGCUGCCAUCAAUAACAAAAGUCAAAACCUCUAGACACGUAAAACGAAACCAUAAGAAGAUAAAAGUAGUAAGUAGAUAGAGAGAGAGAGAGACCUGAUUCUUGAAAACGGCGUCGUGUUCAAGCAUUGUAUGUUUCAUGAAGUCUCUCUCGUAUAUCAUAUCCACAGCGAACACACAACAGACCAACUGCAAUUUAUUAAAUGUAAAAACUCAAUUACAAUCAGAGAUCAUUAUAUUAUAGUAUCAUUAUGUAUCAAAUGUUAAUGUAGCAUCUCAAAGCCAGAUUCAUCUUUUUGACAAAUCCGAAUCAUCAUUGAUAAAAACCCCAGGUUGCGAGCCCCCUCCUCCUUCUUCUUCACUCUCGAGAGCGGGAGGAGCCUCCAAAUCUAUCCACAUAUUUCCUUUUGUUUUCACUCUCAGACUGGAACGCAAGCCGGAAUCUUCAUCAUCUUCACUAGCACAUGAAUUCAGAUCAAAGUAGUGUCUGUUGAUGGCAGCUUUGUUUCCUUCUUCCUUUACAGCACAAAAGGCUUUAGAACCACGCUGGUCAACAGAAACUGAGGCAUCACAUGGCAAGUUGAUGUCGAAGUCCCGCUUCACUUCCUUAUGUUGAUCAGCGACACACAAGGAGUGAGAGAUAAAUGGAGCAUGCUCCUCCUUGCAAAUAGAAUGCUUCUGAAAGACUGGGCCCCCAAUAUUUUUUCCACUAUUCUGUGGGUUGAUCAAUUCAAUUCUUCCCAUGUUGGCAUUAUAAGAGCAUGAGGCAGAUGACCUAAAUCCCGUCUGAAGAGAAACACCAUUCCUACCGUCCCCUGCGUCAGUUCCAUCCAUGAAUUGAUCGGUCGAAGCAUUCAAAUCAAAUAAGCCACUGGAUCUUUCACUUUUGUAAGAUGGCUUAGGUUUUAGCCAGGGCAACAUAGCUGAGGAUUCCUGCGUUUUUAGCCCCUGAAAGCUUUCAGAACUCUGGUGCUUCACCACCUCACCUAAAGAAGCAUUUGGUCUAAAGCCUCCUGAUGGGAAACUAACGGCAGCCUCCUUCGACCCUGAAGAGAAUCCAUGAUAAACCCCGUUAGUGACAGGGCUUCUCGUAUCAAAACUUGUAUCUGUCCUUGUGCGCGCAACAAAGUUCAUGUAGGGAUUCGUUUGAACUGGGAAAAAUCUCUGAUGUGAGGUGCUCCUAGGGUUCUCCCACGAUGAAGACCAAUGGCUCCAUGGUCUGACAAAGUCAGGGCGGUAGUCAUUGUGUAAUCUUGGAGCAUUAGAUGCCGGAAAUGAUUCCACGUAGCUAUCAUAAGACGCUUGAGGAUUCUUUGAGCGAACUUCGAGCUCACGAUAUGCUCUUUCCCGGGAGAAUACUACAUUGCUGUGAUCAGUCGUGAGAUAGCUCUGAGGUUGAACAGCACUGUUGGAACGUACUUGUACAGAAUGGGAAGGCAAAUGCAAGUCUCUCUGAGUGCUCCUGUCGUGCCCUAUAAACACACCACCACAUGAAAACAUUC